rnacentral:lncRNA from 1 species
GCGAAAAGCAAAGCACUUCCUCAUAUCUGUAUCUGCCUCUCGUCUUGCUUUUGAUUUGAAGAUAAGAGACUCUGGAGUAAUGAAUCAUGGUGGUGGAGAAUGGCGUGAUGGACAGGCCUCCUGAAUCCGGUCAGACAGACACUUCUGUUUCAAAGGUGUCAGGCUUAGACUGAGUGCCAGAAUUACCCUCAUGGAAUUCACAGUCCAGUGGAAGAGGAGACAUUCAUCAGGUUCUCAGCUUUGCAUAACAGCUCCCAACUCUUCCUCCUGGAGGCCUGCUGAUUACCGGCAUGAGCUGAAAUACUGGGGACAGCCACAGCCUGAACUCAGCAGCACCCUGCAGCAUGCUACUUUCUCUCUCCUCCUGCCUUCCUCUCCCUAGGAAGUGAAACCACACAAUAAACCAGGCACGCAGGGUUCCUGUCCCUCCACUUUCCUAGACUGGGCCACACUUGAUCAUUCUUGAAGUCAUCACAACCCUGCGGGUCUGUACUUGAAAUUUCACAUAUAAUUUGUCACAGCUAGAAAGCCUGUUUCUAAUAAAACAUUUUCCUCUUUGCUUCACCUUCUGAAUACUCAAGUUCAGCUCAGGUUCUGGUUAUUCAGCCAGUGCUGAAAAGGAGAAAGCAAGAGCUAGUGAAGUCUAACAAUUUAUUUUUUUUAAUCUUAAAACUUUAAAAACAAAAACAAAAACACUAAUGCGGCUUCCCAAACUUAGCCAUCUCUUUUAUACACCUAACCUAGAGCUCCUGACACAGGCAUAGGAACUUCUGAUAUUUGUUCACAGAAGAAACAACCAGAACCUUCCCUGAAUUUGAGGCUGCACUGCUAGGGAAGGCUCCCCGGGAGAGGCUGGCAUUCACAGAGCCACCGUGUGAGGACGGCGUUUUAAACUGCAGACAAUAAAGUGCUCAUCAUGUGUAAAAAGCCAUUAAAAACCUCCAGUGCGAAUCACCUUGGUCAUGCCAUCCUCCCGAGUUUAUUAUUGUCUUUCCCCUGCUCUUAUCCAAACAGCCUGGACAGCUUGUUUAUGGAGGGCUCUAGAGCAGCCUCG